rnacentral:tRNA from 1 species
GGAAAGGUACUCAAGUGGUUUAAGAGGACGCUUUGCUAAAGCGUUAGGAGCUCACGGGGCUCGCAUGGGUUCUAAUCCCAUCCUUUCCG